rnacentral:rRNA from 1 species
AUGUCUAAGUAUAAGCAAUUAUACAGCGAAACUGCGAAUGGCUCAUUAUAUAAGUUAUCGUUUAUUUGAUAGUACCUUACUACUUGGAUAACCGUGGUAAUUCUAGAGCUAAUACAUGCUAAAAAUCCCGACUUCGGAAGGGAUGUAUUUAUUAGAUUAAAAACCAACGCCCUCUGGGCUCCUUGGUGAUUCAUGAUAACUUUUCGAAUCGCAGGCCCUUGCGCCGGCGAUGGCUCAUUCAAAUUUCUUCCCUAUCAACUUUCGAUGUUUGGGUAUUGGCCAAACAUGGUCGCAACGGGUAACGGAGGGUUAGGGCUCGACCCCGGAGAAGGAGCCUGAGAAACGGCUACUACAUCCAAGGAAGGCAGCAGGCGCGCAAAUUACCCAAUCCGAUUCGGGGAGGUAGUGACAAUAAAUACUGAUACAGGGCUCUUUUGGGUCUGUAAUUGGAAUGAGUACAAUUUAAAUCCCUUAACGAGGAACAAUUGGAGGGCAAGUCUGGUGCCAGCAGCCGCGGUAAUUCCAGCUCCAAUAGCGUAUAUUAAAGUUGUUGUGGUUAAAAAGCUCGUAGUUGAACCUUGGGCCUGGCUGGCCGGUCCGCCUCACCGCGUGCACUGGUCCGGCCGGGCCUUUCCCUCUGUGGAACCCCAUGCCCUUCACUGGGUGUGGCGGGGAAACAGGACUUUUACUUUGAAAAAAUUAGAGUGCUCCAGGACGGCCUAUGCUCGAAUACAUUAGCAUGGAAUAAUAAAAUAGGACGUGUGGUUCUAUUUUGUUGGUUCUAGGACCGCCGUAAUGAUUAAUAGGGACAGUCGGGGGCAUCAGUAUUCAAUUGUCAGAGGUGAAAUUCUUGGAUUUAUUGAAGACUAACUACUGCGAAAGCAUUUGCCAAGGAUGUUUUCAUUAAUCAGGAACGAAAGUUAGGGGAUCGAAGACGAUCAGAUACCGUCGUAGUCUUAACCAUAAACUAUGCCGACUAGGGAUCGGACGAUGUUAUUUUUUGACGCGUUCGGCACCUUACGAGAAAUCAAAGUGCUUGGGCUCCAGGGGGAGUAUGGUCGCAAGGCUGAAACUUAAAGAAAUUGACGGAAGGGCACCACCAGGGGUAAACCGCUUCAUGCAGCCGCAGUAGCUCUGCUCCGAAAGCAGCCCGAAAGGUCAGUGGUGUUCCUGGUCCUCCGGCGCACAACUAAGUGCUAGUCUCCUCUGAGCAACACCCUCAAAUUGCGGAAACUCCUAAAGCCAGUGUCACCAAGCCGGCGUCGAAGACGUCGGUGGCCGGGUAAUGACCUAGGUAUGGUAAAAGCACACUGAUAAUCGAAUGACGAUCCGCAGCCAAGCCUCGUCGCCGCAGGCACGGGAAGGUUCAGAGACUUGAUGGGGUGGGUGAGAGGUCGGGCGCUCGAGCCCUGAUGGUGUAAGUCGGCACGGAGCGUCGAGCCUCUGCCUUCGAGCUUAAGAUAAAGUCCGUCGCGAAACGGGGCGCUACCUGUAAACGGCAUGCGGCUUAAUUUGACUCAACACGGGAAACUCACCAGGUCCAGACACAAUGAGGAUUGACAGAUUGAGAGCUCUUUCUUGAUUUUGUGGGUGGUGGUGCAUGGCCGUUCUUAGUUGGUGGAGUGAUUUGCUGCUUAAUUGCGAUAACGAGACCUUAACCUG